rfam:Ovis aries breed Texel chromosome 2, whole genome shotgun sequence.
UUCCUGGUAGUCCAGUGGCUAAGACUCUGCACUCCCGGUGCACGGGGCCUAGGUUUGAUUCCUGGUCAGGGAA